rnacentral:rRNA from 1 species
AGGCUACCGCUAUUGGAGUUCGAUUAAGCCAUGCGAGUCGCGAGUCUUAGGGACUCGGCGUACCGCUCAGUAACACGUGGGUAACCUGCCCUAUGCUGGGGGAUAACCUCGGGAAACUGAGAAUAAUACCCCAUAGUUCACCACGCCUGGAACGGUGGGUGGAUGAAAGCUCCGGCGGCAUAGGAUGGGCCUGCGGCGUAUCAGGUUGUAGGGGGUGUAAUGUACCCUCUAGCCAUCUACGCGUACGGGUGUUGGGAGACAUCGCCCGGAGAUGGAUUCUGAGACACGAAUCCAGACCCUACGGGGUGCAGCAGGCGCGAAAACUUGGCAAUGCGAGAAAUCGUGACCAGGGAACUCCAAGUGCAUGGGGUAAGACCUAUGCUUUUCUAGACUCUAAAAAGGUCUUGGAAUAAGAGGUGGGUAAGGACGGUGCCAGCCGCCGCGGUAAUACCGGCGCCUCAAGUGGUAGUCGCUUUUAUUGGGCCUAAAACGUCCGUAGCCGGUCUGAUACAUUCGUGGGUAAAUCAACCAGCUUAACUGGUUGAAUUCUGCGAGGACGGUCAGACUUGGGACCGGGAGAGGUGUGGGGUACGCUCAGGGUAGGGGUAAAAUCCUGUCAUCCUGAGCGGACCACCUGUUGCGAAGGCGCCACACUAGAACGGAUCCGACGGUCAGGGACGAAGCCUAGGGGCACGAACCGGAUUAGAUACCCGGGUAGUCCUAGGUGUAAACGCUGUGGACUUGAUGUUGGGGGUGCUCCGAGCACUCUCAGUGUCGAAGCGAAGGCGAUAAGUCCACUGCCUGGGAAGUACGGUCGCAAGGCUGAAACUUAAAGGAAUUGGCGGGGGAGCACCGCAACCUGAGGAUUGUGCGGUUU